GACGAACGCUGGCGGCGUGCUUAACACAUGCAAGUCGAACGGAAAGGCCCUGCUUUUGUGGGGUGCUCGAGUGGCGAACGGGUGAGUAACACGUGAGUAACCUGCCCUUGACUUUGGGAUAACUUCAGGAAACUGGGGCUAAUACCGGAUAGGAGCUCCUGCUGCCUGGUUGGGGUUGGUAAGUUUCGGCGGUUGGGGAUGGACUCGUGGCUUAUCAGCUGGUUGGUGGGGUAGUGGCUUACCAAGGCUUUGACGGGUAGCCGGCCUGAGAGGGUGACUGGCCACAUUGGGACUGAGAUACGGCACGGACUCGUACGGGAGGCAGGAGUGUGGAAUCUUGCACGAUGGGCGGACGCCUGAUGCAGCAACGCCGCGUGCGGGAUGAAGGCCUUCGUGUUGUAAACAGCUUGCGCCUGUGACGAAGCGUAAGUGACGGUAAUGGGUAAAGAAGCAACGGCUAACUACGUG
rnacentral:rRNA from 1 species